rnacentral:lncRNA from 1 species
ACAGAAUUCGCUGGUUGGUUGGCAUUUUAUUUCUCCAGAUGUCUAUCUACUAGUGGGAGGCAAAGGAAGAGUGACCGACCCAUUCCAGGAAACAUUUGUUCAUUUAAGCCCUGAUCACUUGUUUCCUAACCUCCAGGUGGGAUGUGCUGGUCCCCGUGGCCGGUGGGCCAUGAGAAUCAGAGAAAAGCACCCCUCCCUCUGGGCAGACACAGGCCCUGCUAGGUGGGAUUGAGGUUGGAUUCUAGUCCCUGUUUGCUCCCUGCCUGGACACCCUGGUGCUCUGAGCUAUCGCUCAACUGAACGUGCUUCACUGGGGUAAUUCUAAUGGGAAGAGCUCUAAGCAAGGGAGGAGGGGAACAUUUUGGAGGCAGGUGAAGCCUUGUAGUUACCAUCAUCUCAUGUAGUGUCUGUCUCUUCCAUCCGAUGCCGUAGGCUGGUGCUGUAGGCUGGCUGUGCUCACCAGUUCAGCAGGUUAAUUACUAGGAGUCCCUGCUAAGUGCCCAGCAUCCCCAGGAGUAGUGACACCCAGUGUGUGGUGGCCUUUAUAGUGUGCCAUGUUUUUAGAAAGAAUGGCCGUAUUCGAUCCAGCGAUGACUUUGGGAGGUAGGCAGGGCAAGAAGGUUAUACCCAUUUAUAAAUGAGCUGAGGCUCUAGGGAGGCGAAGUGAUGUGCACGCCCUCAGCUAGAAGAUGGCAACACUGGCAUCUUGAUCCUCCAGUUUGACUGGUUCACCAGCUGUGCCAUGUGGCAUAUUACUAGACAGACUCACAAAGUCCAGCUUUCACCUCAACUUUCCAGAAUGCACAAAUCUUAAGGGAGUCUUCGUGCCUCCAAAUGCCAGACCAUUUACCCCCCUCAUUCUCUCAUGUCCUAUUUGACAGGAUUCUCCUGAGAGUAUGGCACAUCUGUCUAGCACGUCAUGUUUCGGGGAAGCCUUUCCCAACGGUGUCAUGAGGCUGGCAGGGUGGGCAUUCUGUCCAUCAGCGAGGAGCAGAUGGAGAGCCAAAGAGGAUGAGUGAAUUGCCGACGCGCACGCCUGGUUCAGGAUCAGCAUCCAGGUCUCCUCAUUAAGUCCAAUGAGCUUUCAGCUCUGUCAUGCUGCCUCUUCUUCCCCAGAGGGCUUGGGAAACAUAAGCAACUGCCUACAGGAAAUAUGCUUCACCUUCCUCACAGACACGGCGUUCCAGAACCAGACUCCAUGGAAACAGAACACAGAGGGUGUGUACAUGCAUGUCUUCUAGACCCACUCCAGUUCUCAUCAGAAGCUGAUGAGCCACCCCACAGUUCACGGCGGGUCAGACCUAAUCCGUAUCCUCUUCAAAAUAGGCCAGAAAAAUGGAAUCACUGGAUAUCAGAAGAGAAAGGGAACCACAGAGUCUUGCUAGUCUAAUGCCUUUAUUUUAAGGAUGAAGAAAUAGCCUUUUGUUUUGUUUUUCAGAUUUAUUGAGAUAUAAUGUACAAAGUGGUAAGAUACUUAAAGUUACAACAUGAUUUUGAAACAACCUUGCCUUGUGAAAGGACUCCCCCAUCAUGUUAAUUACCCUGAUAAUCACUUCACAUAUUUACCUUUGUGUGUGUAUGUUUGAGAAUAUUUAAGUUCUACUCUCUCAGCAAAUUUCAAUUAUACAAAUACAGUGUUAUCAACUAUAGUCACCAUGUUAUACAGUAGAUCCUCAGACUUCAUUCAUCUUGUAACUAAAAGUUUACACAAUUUUGCUGACUUCUCCUAUUUCUCCUACCUCCAGUCCCUUCAACCAUUUUCUACACUCUGUUUCUUAGAGUUUUUUAAAGAUUUUACAUAUAAGUGAUACUAUACAGUAUAUGUCUUUCUCUGUGUGCCUUAUUUCACUUAACAUAAUUCCCUCUAGUUUUACCUAUGUUGUUCCCAGUGAUAGGAUCUCCUUCUUGUUUAAGGCUGCAUAGCAUUCCAUUAUAUUUUUAGAACUCAUUUUCUUGAUCCAUUCAUGCAUCAGUGGAUGGUUAUAUUGUUUCAAUACCUUGACUGUUGUGAAUAUUGCUGCCAUGAACACAGAAGUACAGAUAUCUCUUGGAGAUAAUGGUUUCAUUUCCUUUGCAUAUCUACCCUGAAGAGGGAUUAUUGAAUCAUAUGGUAGUUCUCUUUUUAAUUUCUAGGAGGAAUAUCCAUACUGUUUUCCACAGUGGCUGUACCAGUUUACAUUUCCACCAACAGUAUACAAGGGUUUCCUUUUCUCCACACCCUAGCCAGCAUUUAUUGAAUUUUGAUUACAGCCAUCCUAACAGGUGCAGAGUGACUGUGGGUUUUUUGAUGUGGGUUUUCCUGAUGAUUAGUGAUGCUGAGUACCUUUUCAUGUACCUGUUGGUCAUUUAUAUGUCUUCAGAAAAAUGUCUAAUCACAUCCUUUGCUCAUUUUUAAAUUGGGUUAUUUGGGUUUUUGCUUAGUUAUGUGAAUUCCUUGAAUGUGGAUAAUAAUCCCUUAUCUGUAAAUAUGUAAAUACUUUCUCUCAUUCCAUAGGCUGCCUUUUUAUUUUUUUAAUUUUAAAUUUUUUAUUUUUUGUCGUUUGUCUUUCUAGGGCUGCACCUGUGGCAUGUGGAAGUUCCUAGGCUAGGGGUCAGAUUGGAGCUACAGCUGCCGGUCUAUGCCAUAGCCACAGCAAUGCCUUUUUAUUUUAUGAUGGUUUCCUUUAGGUAUUCUAUGCUCAUGGAUUGAAAGAAUUAAUAAGGUUUAAAUGUCUGUAGUACCCAAAGCAAUCUAUAGAUUCAAUGCAACAUCUAUAAAAAUGCCAAUGUGCUUUCCACACAAAUAGAAAAACAAUCCUAAAGUCUAUGGAAACAUGGAAGACCCCAAACAUUCAAAGCAAUCUUGAGAAAGAAGAACAAACCUAUAGGAAUCACAGUUUGUAAUUUCAAACUAUAUUAUAAAGAUACAGUAAUCAAAACAGUAUGGUGCUGGCAUAAAAACAGGCUCAUAGUCUAGUGGAACAGUGUAGAGUCUAGAAGUAAACCCAUGCAUAUAUGGUCAAUUAAUUUUCAACAAAGUAGCCAAGAAUAUACAAUGGGGAAAGGAUAGUCUCUUACCUAAGUGGGAAGACAUGGAUAGCCACAUGCAAAAGAAUGAAACUGGAUCCCUGUCUUACGCCAUACACAACUCAAAAUGGAUGGAAGACUUGAAGUCGAACUGAAACUGUAAAGGUCCUGAAAGAGAACUCAGGGAGAGUAAACCCCUUGACCUUGGUCUUGACAAUGACUAUUUGAAUUUGAUACCAAAAGCAAAGUCAACAAAAGCAAAAGUAAACAAGCAGAUGACAUUGCAUUAAAAAGCUGCUCUGGGAGUUCCCAUCGUGGCUCAGUGGUUAACGAAUCCGACUAGGAACCAUGAGGUUGCAGGUUCGAUCCAUGGCCUUGCUCAAUGGGUGAAGAACCUGGUGUUGCCGUGAGCUGCGGUGUAGGUCGCAGACGCGGUUCGGAUCCCAGUUGCUGUGGCUCUGGCGUAGGCCUGUGGCUACAGCUCCGAUUAGACCCCUAGCCUGGGAACCUCCAUAUGCCGAGGGAGCCGCUCUAGAAAUGGCAAAAAGACAAAAAAAAAAAAAAAA